rnacentral:misc_RNA from 1 species
GAUGAAGAACGCAGCGAAAUGCGAUAAGUAAUGUGAAUUGCAGAAUUCAGUGAAUCAUCGAAUCUUUGAACGCACAUUGCGCCCAUCAGUAUUCUGUUGGGCAUGCCUGUCCGAGCGUCAUUUCAACCCUCAGGGCCCGUUCGCGGGAACUGGUGUUGGGGAUCGGCCUUCCCCCGGAGGCCGGCCCCGAAAUGCAGUGGCGGCUCUACCGCGAUCUCCUCUGUGUAGUAGCGAUACCUCGCAGCUGGAUAGUGGUGGUGCCACGCCGUAAAAUCCCAACUUUACCAAGGUUGACCUCGGAUCAGGUAGGAAUACCCGCUGAACUUAAGCAUAUCAAUAAGCGGAGGA